GUGUUCAAGUGAUUUGUGUAUGGGCGAUGCUUGGACGAGUGGUCUGUGGACAGGUGAUGUAUGGACGGGUGAUAUUUGGACGGAUGAUGUGUGGACGAAUGAGGAAGCAGGAGUGGGGUUUUGGCCACUCAUGUUUUGAACUGGUUCACAAUAGCGUUCCUCAUUCACCAUCACCACUAGCAAAAGCAUGAACAUAUGGCUAGAGAUUAUUUUGU
rnacentral:lncRNA from 1 species